CAAACGGCCCUCUUUAGGGCCACAAUUUGACAAGUGGGCGAUAAGU
rfam:Globodera pallida, Lindley, WGS project CBXT01000000 data, contig: pathogens_Gpal_scaffold_611_contig_9